UCAGGAUGAACGCUGGCGGCGUGCCUAAUACAUGCAAGUCGAACGCACAGCGAAAGGUGCUUGCACCUUUCAAGUGAGUGGCGAACGGGUGAGUAACACGUGGACAACCUGCGCUCAAGGCUGGGGAUAACAUUUGGAAACAGAUGCUAAUACCGAAUAAAACUUAGUGUCGCAUGACACAAAGUUAAAAGGCGCUUCGGCGUCACCUAGAGAUGGAUCCGCGGUGCAUUAGUUAGUUGGUGGGGUAAAGGCCUACCAAGACAAUGAUGCAUAGCCGAGUUGAGAGACUGAUCGGCCACAUUGGGACUGAGACACGGCCCAAACUCCUACGGGAGGCUGCAGUAGGGAAUCUUCCACAAUGGGCGAAAGCCUGAUGGAGCAACGCCGCGUGUGUGAUGAAGGCUUUCGGGUCGUAAAGCACUGUUGUAUGGGAAGAACAGCUAGAAUAGAAAUGAUUUUAGUGUGACGUCCAC
rnacentral:rRNA from 1 species